UAAACUAGGAUUAGAUACCCUAUUAUAAUAUAUUUAAAUUUUAUANUCAGGGUAGUAUUAGUUAUGUUCUUAAAACCUAAAGAAUUUGGCGGUGUUUUAGUCUAUUUAGAGGAAUUUGCCCCUUAAUCGAUAGUCCUCGUUUUAUCUUACUUGAAUUUGUUUAUCAGUAUGUAUAUCGCCGUUAUAAGUUUAUUUUAUUAGAAUAAAAAUUUACUUUAUUCUUUUGUAUGAAUUAUUUCAGGUCAAGGUGCAGUUUAUAUUUAAGUGGAGGUGGAUUACAAUAAUUUUUGAUUAUAUGGAUUUAUAUUUUAAAAUUUUAAUGAAAGUGGAUUUGAUUGUAAUUUUAAUAACAGUGUUAUUUUGAUUUUAGCUCUAAAAUAAGUACACAUCG
rnacentral:rRNA from 1 species